rnacentral:rRNA from 1 species
GUCCACGCCCUAAACGAUGUCAACUAGGUGUUGGGUGGGUAAAACCAUUUAGUACCGGAGCUAACGCGUGAAGUUGACCGCCUGGGGAGUACGGCCGCAAGGUUAAAACUCAAAGGAAUUGACGGGGACCCGCACAAGCGGUGGAUGAUGUGGAUUAAUUCGAUGCAACGCGAAAAACCUUACCUACCCUUGACAUGUCCAGAAGCUCUUAGAGAUUUUGAGUGUGCCCCGAAAAGGGAGCUGGAACACAGGUGCUGCAUGGCUGUCGU